AUUGAACGCUGGCGGCAUGCCUAACACAUGCAAGUCGAACGGCAGCAUGAAGUGGGGUAACCCAUUUUGAUGGCGAGUGGCGGACGGGUGAGUAAUAUGUAGGAAUCUACCUAGAGGUGCGGGAUAACUUAGGGAAACUUAAGCUAAUACCACAUAAUCCCCAAGGGGGAAAGCAGGGGACCGCAAGGCCUUGCGCCUUAUGAUGAGCCUACAUCGGAUUAGCUUGUUGGUGGGGUAAAGGCCUACCAAGGCGACGAUCAGUAGCUGGUCUGAGAGGACGAUCAGCCACACUGGGACUGAGACACGGCCCAGACUCCUACGGGAGGCAGCAGUGGGGAAUUUUGGACAAUGGGCGAAAGCCUGAUCCAGCAAUGCCGCGUGUGUGAAGAAGGCCUUCGGGUUGUAAAGCACUUUUGUCCGGAAAGAAAUGGCUCUGGUUAAUACCUGGGGUCGAUGACGGUACCGGAAGAAUAAGGACCGGCUAACUACGUGCCAGCCGCCGCCGUAA
rnacentral:rRNA from 1 species